rnacentral:rRNA from 1 species
UACGUAGGGGGCAAGCGUUGUCCGGAAUCAUUGGGCGUAAAGAGCGUGUAGGCGGCCCGAUAAGUCCGCUGUGAAAGUCCAGGGCUCAACCCUGGAAUGCCGGUGGAUACUGUCGGGCUCGAAUCCGGAAGAGGUGAGUGGAAUUCCGGGUGUAGUGGUGGAAUGCGUAGAUAUCAGGAGGAACACCAAUAGCGAAGGCAGCUCGCUGGGACGUUACUGUCACUGAGGCGCGAAAGCGUGGGGAGCGAACAGG